rnacentral:lncRNA from 1 species
UCUAGACCAACUUGUGUUCUGAAGACAUCUUUCUAUGAAAUAGAACAAGGAUUUCUGUGUGUACAUGUUAAUUCAUCAACAUUUCAUCUGCUUAUGAAACCAAAGAUGAAAAUAUAAAACGUAUGCCCCAGUUAAAGGGAUAAUGACCUUGAAAAGUUCAAGAACAUUCUUUUUAGCAUUGGAUAACUUUCAUGAGCAGAAUACACAUUAAAAAUCGCAGGCAGCCAAGUGGAGCAGCCAGUGAAAAGCAUAUUAAGGAGGACAGAUAAGGGCCUUACCUCUGCUCAUAAUUAUUACGGAGCUACUUUCUCAUCUUC